rnacentral:rRNA from 1 species
AUUGAACGCUGGCGGAAUGCUUUACACAUGCAAGUCGAACGGUAGAGGGGGCAACCCCUUGAGAGUGGCGAACGGGUGAGUAAUAUAUCGGAACGUGCCCAGUCGUGGGGAUAACGUAGCGAAAGUUACGCUAAUACCGCAUACGAUCUAAGGAUGAAAGCGGGGGAUCGCAAGACCUCGCGCGAUUGGAGCGGCCGAUAUCAGAUUAGGUAGUUGGUGAGGUAAAGGCUCACCAAGCCAACGAUCUGUAGCUGGUCUGAGAGGACGACCAGCCACACUGGAACUGAGACACGGUCCAGACUCCUAC